CUAGCGGCAGGCUUAACACAUGCAAGUCGAGGGGUAACAGGGAGUGCUUGCACUCCGCUGACGACCGGCGCACGGGUGCGUAACGCGUAUGCAACCUACCUUCUACAGGGGGAUAGCCCAGAGAAAUUUGGAAUAAUACCCCAUACGAUCAUUAAUCGGCAUCGAUUGAUGAAGAAAACUCCGGUGGUAGAAGAUGGGCAUGCGUCCUAUUAGUUAGUUGGUGAGGUAACGGCUCACCAAGACGUCGAUAGGUAGGGGUCCUGAGAGGGAGAUCCCCCACACUGGUACUGAGACACGGACCAGACUCCUACGGGAGGCAGCAGUGAGGAAUAUUGGACAAUGGAGGCAACUCUGAUCCAGCCAUGCCGCGUGCAGGAAGACGGCCCUAUGGGUUGUAAACUGCUUUUAUACAGGAAGAAUUGUACCUACGUGUAGGUAUUUGACGGUACUGUACGAAUAAGGAUCGG
rnacentral:rRNA from 1 species